rnacentral:rRNA from 1 species
AACAGGAUUAGAUACCCUGGUAGUCCACGCCCUAAACGAUGUCUACUAGUUGUUGGGUCUUAAUUGACUUAGUAACGCAGCUAACGCGAGAAGUAGACCGCCUGGGGAGUACGGUCGCAAGAUUAAAACUCAAAGGAAUUGACGGGGACCCGCACAAGCGGUGGAUGAUGUGGAUUAAUUCGAUGCAACGCGAAAAACCUUACCUACCCUUGACAUGUCAGGAAUCCUGGAGAGAUCUGGGAGUGCCCGAAAGGGAACCUGAACACAGGUGCUGCAUGGCUGUCGUCAGCUCGUGUCGUGAGAUGUUGGGUUAAGUCCCGCAACGAGCGCAACCCUUGUCAUUAGUUGCUACGAAAGGGCACUCUAAUGAGACUGCCGGUGACAAACCGGAGGAAGGUGGGGAUGACGUCAAGUCCUCAUGGCCCUUAUGGGUAGGGCUUCACACGUCAUACAAUGGUACAUACAGAGGGCCGCCAACCCGCGAGGGGGAGCUAAUCCCAGAAAGUGUAUCGUAGUCCGGAUUGUAGUCUGCAACUCGACUGCAUGAAGUUGGAAUCGCUAGUAAUCGCGGAUCAGCAUGUCGCGGUGAAUACGUUCCCGGGUCUUGUACACACCGCCCGUCACACCAUGGGAGCGGGUUUUACCAGAAGUAGGUAGCUUAACCGCAAGGAGGGCGCUUACCACGGUAGGAUUCGUGACUGGGGUGAAGUCGUAACAAGGUAACC